UGAGUAAUGAUCCUGGGAAACAUGCCCGAAUGGAGGGGGAUAACAUACUUGGAAACGGUUAGCUAAUACCGCAUAACGUCUACGGACCAAAGUGGGGGACCUUCGGGCCUCACACCAUCGGAUGUGCCCAGAUGGGAUUAGCUGGUAGGUGGGGUAAUGGCUCACCUAGGCGACGAUCCCUAGCUGGUCUGAGAGGAUGACCAGCCACACUGGAACUGAGACACGGUCCAGACUCCUACGGGAGGCAGCAGUGGGGAAUAUUGCACAAUGGGCGCAAGCCUGAUGCAGCCAUGCCGCGUGUGUGAAGAAGGCCUUCGGGUUGUAAAGCACUUUCAGCGAGGAGGAAGGCGUUGUAGUUAAUAGCUGCAGCGAUUGACGUUACUCGCAGAAGAAGCACCGGCUAACUCCGUGCCAGCAGCCGCGGUAAUACGGAGGGUGCAAGCGUUAAUCGGAAUUACUGGGCGUAAAGCGCACGCAGGCGGUCUGUUAAGUCAGAUGUGAAAUCCCCGGGCUUAACCUGGGAACUGCAUUUGAAACUGGCAGGCUAGAGUCUCGUAGAGGGGGGUAGAAUUCCAGGUGUACGCGGUGAAAUGCGUAGAGAUCUGGAGGAAUACCCGGUGGCGAAGGCGGCCCCCUGACGAAGACUACCGCUCAGUCAAAGCGC
rnacentral:rRNA from 1 species